UACAGAGGGGGCAAGCGUUAUUCGGAAUUAUUGGGCGUAAAGGGGCGCGUAGGCGGCUUUUCAAGUGACGGGUGAAAUCCCUCGGCUUAAACCGAGGAACUGGCCUGUCAGACUGGAAGGCUUGAGACCGGGAGAGGUGAGUGGAAUUCCCAGUGUAGCGGUGAAAUGCGUAGAUAUUGGGAGGAACACCAGUGGCGAAGGCGGCUCACUGGACCGGAACUGACGCUGA
rnacentral:rRNA from 1 species